rnacentral:rRNA from 1 species
GACGAACGCUGGCGGCGUGCUUAACACAUGCAAGUCGAACGGAAAGGCCCCUUUGGGGGUACUCGAGUGGCGAACGGGUGAGUAACACGUGAGUAACCUGCCCUUGACUUCGGGAUAACUUCAGGAAACUGGGGCUAAUACCGGAUAGGAAUCCUUGCUGCAUGGUGGGGGUUGGAAAGUUUCGGCGGUUUUGGAUGGACUCGCGGCUUAUCAGCUUGUUGGUGGGGUAGUGGCUUACCAAGGCUUUGACGGGUAGCCGGCCUGAGAGGGCGACCGGCCACAUUGGGACUGAGAUACGGCCCAGACUCCUACGGGAGGCAGCAGUGGGGAAUAUUGCACAAUGGGCGGAAGCCUGAUGCAGCAACGCCGCGUGCGGGAUGACGGCCUUCGGGUUGUAAACCGCUUUCAGCAGGGGCGAAGCUUGUGGUGACGGUACCUGCAGAAGAAGCACCGGCUAACUACGUG